GGCUGGGGAGCGGGGGUGGGGACAGAAAUCCACUGGUCACUUUGCGCAGGACUCAAGUUUAACAGGUGGCUUCGGCCACCUCCUGCCAAUAUGAGACUCUCCCCCUCCUGCCUGCGGCGGAAGGGACACAGUGCCCGGGAGUUGGACAGCCGCUGCGGCUCCCCCGAGGAGGGCAGUGGGGCCAGGGCAGGAGUGUUGGAACAACCCCGGACCGCUCUGCGACCAAAGCAAGAAACGUGCCACUGACCACCGUGCGCCCCCACGCCAGGACAGCCUCGGAGUCAGAAAGCCACGCGUCCUCCCCACCGACCCCGAGCCGGACGCACGCCUACUCCCGGGAUCCCGAGGGAGGUCCCGAGUUUCCUGGAGGAGGAAAACGGACAUUCAAAGAGGCGAAGAAACGCGUCCAAGAGGUUUUGACCCUAUUGCUCGGUGCCGUUUCUCCUUUAUCACCAUGGAAAUGUUCACUGAGGUUAUUAGCUGGUUGUGGAAGGCUUUUGUCCAUAUUCUGAAGGAAAAAUGCAUGUGGAAGAAACAAAUAUGGAAUAAAGUAGUAAAUAAAUCACAUCUAAAUUCAAAAAGAGUCUGAAAGAAAAGCAAGUUUCUAAAAGAUGCAUGGUGAAGAAGUACCGUUCAUUCGAGCUUCAGGACCCGCCAAGUGACCGAGGUCCAAACAGGAAGAGAGGAUGUAUGGAGCCCAUUCAUUCUUCAUCCAAAAAUAAUUUGUGGUUUCUUAUGUGCCAAGUGUUAUGAAGGGUAAAGUCCAGGAGGUGCAACAAUGAGCAGUAUGGAUGAGUUCCCUGUCCAAGGAAAAUUUAUGAUCCAGAAGGGUUUGGGGGAUACAGACGAGACUCCAAUGAUAAGCUAGUUGGUCACCAUCCAUCUGUUAAUCCCCAAAUAGAGUAGGAGUGAUUCUGUAAAUAAAACAACGGUAAGGUGAAUGGCAUCCCCCCCAGAGAUAAGCCUGAGGACUCAUGGUUGGUCUGAAUUUGGCCAAGGACAACUUUGCUU